UUGGAAGUAAAAAGUCGUAACAAGGUUUCCGUAGGUGAACCUGCGGAAGGAUCAUUACCGAGUGCGGGUCCUUUGGGCCCAACCUCCCAUCCGUGUCUAUUGCCCUGUUGCUUCGGCGGGCCCGCCGCUUGUCGGCCGCCGGGGGGGCGCCUCUGCCCCCCGGGCCCGUGCCCGCCGGAGACCCCAACACGAACACUGUCUGAAAGCGUGCAGUCUGAGUUGAUUGAAUGCAAUCAGUUAAAACUUUCAACAAUGGAUCUCUUGGUUCCGGCAUCGAUGAAGAACGCAGCGAAAUGCGAUAACUAAUGUGAAUUGCAGAAUUCAGUGAAUCAUCGAGUCUUUGAACGCACAUUGCGCCCCCUGGUAUUCCGGGGGGCAUGCCUGUCCGACGUCAUUGCUGCCCUCAAGCCCGGCUUGUGUGUUGGGUCGCCGUCCCCCUCUCCGGGGGGACGGGCCCGAAAGGCAGCGGCGGCACCGCGUCCGAUCCUCGAGCGUAUGGGGCUUUGUCACAUGCUANUGUAGGGAUUGGCCGGCGCCUGCCGACGUUUUCCAACCAUUCUUUCCAGGU
rnacentral:rRNA from 1 species